GUGCUUGUUUCCACAACUCAUAUACUAAAAUUGAAACAAUACAGAGAUUAGCAUGGUCCCUCCUCAAGGAGGACACGAAAAUUUGUCAAGCAUUCCAUAUUAAA